GAUGAACGCUAGCGAUAGGCUUAACACAUGCAAGUCGAGGGGCAUCGAGGAUUAGCAAUAAUUUGUCGGCGACCGGCGCACGGGUGAGUAACACGUAUGCAACCUACCCAUAACUGGAGAAUAACCCGUCAAAGGCGGACUAAUACCGCAUAAUACGAGUGAUCCGCAUGGAUUGCUUUUUAAAGAUUUAUCGGUUAUGGAUGGGCAUGCGUUCCAUUAGGUGGUUGGCGGGGCAACGGCCCACCAAGCCUGCGAUGGAUAGGGGUUCUGAGAGGAAGGUCCCCCACACUGGUACUGAGACACGGACCAGACUCCUACGGGAGGCAGCAGUGAGGAAUAUUGGUCAAUGGGCGAGAGCCUGAACCAGCCAAAUCGCGUGAAGGAUGAAGGUAUUAUGUAUUGUAAACUUCUUUUACAGGGGAAUAAAGUGCAGCACGUGUGCUGUUUUGUAUGUACCCUAGGAAUAAGGAUCGGCUAACUCCGUGCCAGCAGCCGCCGUAAUAC
rnacentral:rRNA from 1 species